rnacentral:rRNA from 1 species
CCUACGGGAGGCAGCAGUGAGGAAUAUUGGUCAAUGGACGAGAGUCUGAACCAGCCAAGUAGCGUGAAGGAUGACUGCCCUAUGGGGUGGAAACUUCUGUUAUAAGGGAAUAAAAUGUGGCACGUGUGGGAUUUUGUAUGUACCAUAUGAAUAAGGAUCGGCUAACUCCGUGCCAGCAGCCGCGGUAAUACGGAGGAUCCGAGCGUUAUCCGGAUUUAAUGGGUUUAAAGGGAGCGUAGUUGGUUUGUUAAGUCAGUUGUGAAAGUUUGCGGCUCAACCGUAAAAUUGCAUUUGAAACUGGCAGUCUUGCGUACAGUUGAGGUGGGCGGAAUUCGUGGUGUAGCGGU